GGACGAACGCUGGCGGCGUGCUUAACACAUGCAAGUCGAGCGAUGAAGUUCCUUCGGGAAAUGGAUUAGCGGCGGACGGGUGAGUAACACGUGGGUAACCUGCCUCAUAGAGGGGAAUAGCCUUUCGAAAGGAAGAUUAAUACCGCAUAAGAUUGUAAUGUCGCAUGACAUAGCAAUUAAAGGAGUAAUCCGCUAUGAGAUGGACCCGCGUCGCAUUAGCUAGUUGGUGAGGUAACGGCCCACCAAGGCGACGAUGCGUAGCCGACCUGAGAGGGUGACCGGCCACAUUGGGACUGAGACACGGCCCAGACUCCUACGGGAGGCAGCAGUGGGGAAUAUUGCACAAUGGGGGAAACCCUGAUGCAGCAACGCCGCGUGAGUGAUGAAGGUCUUCGGAUUGUAAAGCCCUGUCUUUAGGGACGAUAAUGACGGUACCUAAGGAGGAAGCCACGGCUAACUACGUGCCAGCCGCCGC
rnacentral:rRNA from 1 species